UUCCAAAGUGUUGAGUUCAGCUCAGGGCAGCUUCCCUGAUCUGUUAAUUAAACUUUGGGACAUUGAAACGGGCUAGGGAAAAUGAAUGGAUAGAAAACAUUUCUUUAUUCAUUUAUUUCCCAGCCUACAGAA
ensembl:snoRNA small nucleolar RNA SNORA36 family